GCCAGGGUGGCUCAGUGGAUAGAGUGUCGGCCAGCGGACUGAAGGGUCCCGGGUUCGAUUCCCGGUCAGGGCA
rnacentral:tRNA from 1 species